CCGAGAUUGUGUUAUUAACUGCACUAGCCAGCUAGUGUUAACUUUACAUCUAGCUAGGUUAUCCCAUUAACGUUACUUUACUACGGUGCUUUUCUCUUCCAACAUUCCAUGUGUGGCAGGGUGAGCGCUGCUACACCUCCGCCCUUAAUUGGCAUCAGCUGGGCCUAAUUUCCAGUUGUCGGAGCCUAAUUGCGCAGUGGUGGCACCUGCGUUAUUUGGUCUUCCCCUCACGGGCGCGCUCACUUCUACCUGGCGUUUACCUGGCGAGGGCUGUGUGUGGCGUGCUCCGGUUGGCGUGCUUUGUGUGUGUCGUGCUCCGGUUUCUGUACCCAAACUUGGGACUCAUAAGCGGCGUUGGCCGUUCCUGUUGUGUGCAGCUUCGGAGGGGACUUUGAAAAGCGUGGUGUCUGCUCUUCCUCACUGCGAGACGGUGACUGGGUUUGAGCUGUGCGCUGUGCGUUAAGCUCCCUUCGCUCCGCUGAGGCCACAGCUUGUGGCUUCUUCUCCUCCUCUGCGCACUGUGUGGGGCUGCACUCCGCAGCCCGGUGACGUGGGCCGUCAGCUGGGCAUCCUGAAGGACGGUUAUCCACGGCCUCCAGCCCCGGUGCGGCCGCUCCGUUUUCCACUGCUGUUCUGCUGGUUUUCCACAGACCAAUCAAAGCACACUGUAACGCGGCUGUGCAUUCAUGCGGCUUUGGACCUCUGUGUUAUAUUUGGAAGUCCGUCUCCUGUCCCUAUAUUUGCCAGUGUACGAAUCUGUGUGACCUUCUGUUGUUAAGAGUAGUCUACAGGUUUGAGUGUAUUCCCUGGGGUGCAAUUCCACAGGUGGC